UACGGAGGGUGCUAGCGUUGUCCGGAAUUAUUGGGCGUAAAGCGCUCGUAGGCGGUCUGUUGCGUCCGCUGUGAAAACCCGGGGCUUAACCCUGGGCUGGCAGUGGAUACGGACAGACUAGAGGUAGGUAGGGGAGAAUGGAAUUCCCGGUGUAGCGGUGAAAUGCGCAGAUAUCGGGAGGAACACCGGUGGCGAAGGCGGUUCUCUGGGCCUUACCUGACGCUGAGGAGCGAAAGCGUGGGGAGCGAACAGG
rnacentral:rRNA from 1 species